UCAUCAGCAUGGUUAGCUACGGGCGCCCACACCAUCCCAUUGGGAACUCAUUUAGCUCUCGAGCAGUGCCAUUCAGAAGAUUGCACCCUUCUCCAUCCUUUCCCGCUACCUUGAGCCUCGUGUCGCCGUUCGUCCCCCCACUAGGAAGGCUGCUACAUUCUAUCCGGACAUCGCCAGUUUAUAAAAAUCUACCAAACCGCUUCAACCGGUGGAGGCAUUUAUUCACGGGCUCUAGCUGGUAAAGGCAACUGCAA
rnacentral:lncRNA from 1 species